rnacentral:rRNA from 1 species
UACGGGGGGGGCAAGCGUUGUUCGGAAUUACUGGGCGUAAAGGGCGCGCAGGCGGCUCAUUUUGUCAGGCGUGAAAGCCCCGGGCUUAACCUGGGAACUGCGUUUGAUACGGAUGGGCUAGAGUUCGGGAGAGGAGAGUGGAAUUCCCAGUGUAGAGGUGAAAUGCGCAGAUAUCGGGAGGAACACCAAUUGCGAAGGCAGCUCGCUGGGACGUUACUGACGCUGAGACGCGAAAGCGUGGGGAGCAAACAGG